rnacentral:lncRNA from 1 species
ACUUAGAAAAAUGACAUAGAACUCGCAAAUUGACAUUAAGUGUGAAAUGAAACAAUAAAUUUGUAAAUCACACAUAAAACCGGUAAAUUAAUGAAAAAAUGAGUAAAUUAAUGUUGGAGUUGUAAAUUGUAAGAAGAACUUGUAAACAAAACAAACUUAGAAAAAUGACAUAGAACUAGUAAAUUGACAUUAAGUGUGAAAUGAAACAAUAAAUAUGUAAAUCACACAUAAAACUAGUAAAUUGAUGGAAAAAUGAGUAAAUUAAUGUUGGAGUUGUAAAUUGCAAGAAGAACUUGUAAACAAAACAAAAACUUAGAAAAAUGACAUAGAACUUGUAAAUUGACAUUAAGUGUGAAAUGAAACAAUUAAUUUGUAAAUCACACAUAAAACUAGUAAAUUAAUGGAAAAAUGAGUAAAUUAAUAUUGGAGUUGUAAAUUGUAAGAAGAACUUGUAAACAAAACAAAAUUAGAAAAAUGACAUAGAGCUAAUAAAUUGACAUUAAGUGUGAAAUGAAACAAAAAAUAUGUAAAUCACACAUAAAACUAGUAAAUUGAUGGAAAAUUGAGUAAAUUAAUGUUAGAGUUGUAAAUUGGAAGAAGAACUUGUAAACAAAACAAAAACUUAGAAAAAUGACAUAGAACUUGUAAAUUGACAUUAAGUGUGAAAUGAAACAAAAAAUAUGUAAAUCACACAUAAAACUAGUAAAUUAAUGAAAAAAUUGGUAAAUUAAUGUUGGAGUUGUAAAUUGCAAGAAGAACUUGUAAACAAAACAAAAACUUAGAAAAAUGACAUACAACUAGUAAAUUGACAUUAAGUGUGAAAUGAAACAAAAAAUAUGUAAAUCACACAUAAAACUAGUAAAUUAAUGAAAAAAAUUGGUAAAUUAAUGUUGGAGUUGUAAAUUGUAACAAGAACUUGUAAACAAAAUAAAAACUUAGAAAAAUGACAUACAACUAGUAAAUUGACAUUAAGUGUGAAAUGAAACAAAAAGUGUGUAAAUCACACAUAAAACUAGUAAAUUGAUGGAAAACUGAGUAAAUUAAUGUUGGAGUUGUAAAAUGCAAGAAGAACUUGUAAACAAAACAAAAACUUAGAAAAAUGACAUACAACUAGUAAAUUGACAUUAAUUGUGAAAUGAAACAAAAAAUGUGUAAAUCACACAUAAAACUAGUAAAUUGAUGGAAAAAUGAGUAAAUUAAUGUUGGAGUUGUAAAAUGCAAGAAGAAUUUGUAAACAAAACAAAAACUUAGAAAAAUGACAUACAACUAGUAAAUUGACAUUAAUUGUGAAAUGAAACAAAAAAUGUGUAAAUCACACAUAAAACUAGUAAAUUAAUGGAAAAAUAG